rnacentral:rRNA from 1 species
AACGAACGCUGGCGGCGUGCCUAACACAUGCAAGUCGUGCGAGAAAGUUCCUUCGGGAGCGAGUAAAGCGGCGCACGGGUGAGUAACACGUAGGUAACCUGCCCCCCAGUCUGGAACAACUAGAGGAAACUCUAGCUAAUGCCGGAUGAGACCACGAUCCCCUUCGGGGGGUUGCGGCCAAAAGAUGGCCUCUACUUGUAGGCUAUCGCUGAGGGAUGGGCCUGCGGCCAUUAGCUUGUUGGUGAGGUAACGGCUCACCAAGGCUGUGAUGGCUAGCUGGUCUGAGAGGAUGACCAGCCACACUGGGACUGAGACACGGCCCAGACUCCUACGGGAGGCAGCAGUGGGAAUAUUGCGCAAUGGGCGAAAGCCUGACGCAGCGACGCCGCGUGGGUGAU